GAUGAACGCUAGCGGCAGGCUUAAUACAUGCAAGUCGAGGGGCAGCACGAAUAGCAAUAUUUGGUGGCGACCGGCAAACGGGUGCGGAACACGUACGCAACCUUCCUUUAAGUGGAGAAUAGCCCGGGAACCCGGAUUAUACUCGUAACAUUAUAAAGUGGCAUCACUUAGUAAUUAUAGAUUUAUCGCUUAAGAUGGGCGUGCGCCUGAUUAGGUAGUU
rnacentral:rRNA from 1 species